rnacentral:lncRNA from 11 species
UGGGUUCAAGCCAGAAAUUCUUUUAUUCCAAUGUGGGUGGCCAGGUGCAGAAAAGGACAUGAAUUUACUACUGCGUUUCUAAUAGUUGUGUUGAAGAGAGAAUAUAGGUUGCAUGACAGGCCUGCCAGGUUGCAAAGAUAUGCUGGGACUUAAUUGCAGAAGAGCAUCAAGGGAGACUUGUAAUUGUGCC